UCCCAGACUCCUACGGGAGGCAGCAGUGGGGGAUAUUGCACAAUGGGGGAAGCCCUGAUGCAGCGACGCCGCGUGGGCGAAGAAGUAUUUCGGUAUGUAAAGCCCUAUCAGCAGGGAAGAAGAAAUGACGGUACCUGAGUAAGAAGCACCGGCUAAAUACGUGCCAGCAGCCGCGGUAAUACGUAUGGUGCAAGCGUUAUCCGGAUUUACUGGGUGUAAAGGGAGCGCAGGCGGCACGGCAAGCCUGAUGGGAAAGCCCGGGGCCCAACCCCGGGACUGCUCUUGGAACUGUGCGGCCGGAGUGCGGGAGGGGCAGGCGGAAUUCCUGGUGUAGCGGUGAAAUGCGUAGAUAUCAGGAGGGACACCGGCGGCGAAGGCGGCCUGCUGGACCGCGACUGACGUUGAGGCUCGAAAGCGUGGGGAGCGAACAGGAUUAGAUACCCGCGUA
rnacentral:rRNA from 1 species